AUUGAACGCUGGCGGCAGGCCUAACACAUGCAAGUCGAGCGCGCGGGGGACAGGUGAGUAAUGUCUGUGAAACUGCCUGAUGGGGGGGGAUACAUACUGGAAACGGUAGAUAUUACAGCAUACCAUCAGAUGUGCCCAGAUGGGAUUAGAGAGUGGGUGGGGUAACGGCUCACCUCGGCGACGAUCCCUAGCUGGUCUGAGAGGAUGACCAGCCACACUGGAACUGAGACACGGUCCAGACUCCGCCGGGAGGCAGCAGUGGGGAAUAUUGCACAAGGGGCGAAAGCCUGAUGCAGCCAUGCCGCGUGUGUGAAGAAGGCCUUCGGGUUGUAAAGCACUUUCAGCGGGGAGGCGUUACCCGCAGAAGAAGCACCGGCUAACUCCGUGCCAGCAGCCGCGGUAAUUC
rnacentral:rRNA from 1 species